rnacentral:lncRNA from 1 species
UUAUAUUUGUAUUUUUUUAAUCAUGAAAAGCUGUCUAGAGCACAAAAUAAUCAUAUAUGCAGCGGCUACAACAUGCACAUUGCUUUGAAAUUUGUAUUCAGUUGUUCAUUAGAUAAGAAAAUUUCUAGAUUGUAAGUUUGAAACCACUAGGCUAUGUCCUUGUCAUGGCUUUGUGAUUUUUUGUUGUCGGUAUUUCACAUCAUAACAUCAUGUAAAGCACUGGCAGUUAAAGAGUUAAUCUUCUAGUUUUUAGGGACUGCAGUUUUUGGGUGCUUGGUUCUCGGAGGGGGAGGGGAGAUGCUGCAUUCCCCAGAGGUCUUUGCGUCCUGGGGGGGGGCUGGUGAAGCCUCCUGGCAGACUGGGAAUUUUUCUCUUCAUAUGCAGCGGAGAAGCACGUGGUUCCCCUGCAGCUUACGGAGUAAGAAUCUCAGCUUUGAACUCUCUCUGUUUUGAUUUACUGGCCUCAAUUUCGAUAUCAUAUUUAGUAAAUUAACAUUCCUCCUCAGAUUGUUGCUGCUGUCUUGUUUUAGACCUGUCUACAAUUUCCCUACCCUUCCCCUUUUCCCUUUGUUUUCCCCAGGGCGUGGGUGCGCGGGUCCCCUGCCGCAUUAGUCACGGGACCGGGGCAGGCCGGCGCCUAAACCACCAACACUUUUUUUUUCUCCUUUCUCUUCUUCUUCUGGGCCGGUGAGUUUGUGGGCCUGCUGUCCCCCUGUCAAAAACACAGAUCCAUAGAUAACACCAUGACAGUCCUUCUAGAUAGCUUAUCUCUGAAUUUCAAAACUCAAGAGGAAGGGCAAUAAAAUGUCAUCAUGUUAUUAUUCACAUCACAAUUUUGGAAGAAAUUCUUUAUUUUUUCUUUAAAAAAAAAAUCCAGUCAUUUAGUGUGUAACAGUUGCAUGUCUGUCUUCCCUGAGACAGUUGCCUGCAUGGUGAAGAGCCUCAACAGAUUUUGGAUUGAUCAGGUUCAGGAAACGCUGUCAGAAUGCUGUCCUUUUCUGAUGAUUCUUCUGGCCAAUCUUUGCUUGAGGGAGUGCUGGCAUGAAGUGUUCAGAAACACUGACCAUGAGGUUUUGCGUAUGGAUCCUGGCUUAGGUUCAGGGGUACUUGCUGGAGGAGAAUCACAGAAGGAUUUUCCCCUUCCUUCUCAGUGUGCUCCAUGCAAAAAUGUUGUCUCCCACUGAUCUGCUACCUGGUUCCUCCUGACUUUCCUGCAAGGCAGGUGAGUUUGUCUUCGAAGGAGAUUUUUUAGGAAAUGUUAAGAACUUCUGUACAGUAAUCCUACAACCCAAGCUGACAGUAGUUCAAAGCUUCAUUUACCACGGGAUGUCCCCAGGUCCCUGGGCUUUGGCCUUUCAUUAGUUUUCUGGAAUACCA